CAGUAGCCGCGGGAAUACGUAGGUGGCGAGCGUUGUCCGGAAUUAUUGGGCGUAAAGGGAGCGCAGGCGGACAUAUAAGUCCAUCUUAAAAGUGCGGGGCUCAACCCCGUGAGGGGAUGGAAACUGUAUGCCUUGAGUGCAGGAGAGGAAAGCGGAAUUCCCAGUGUAGCGGUGAAAUGCGUAGAUAUUGGGAGGAACACCAGUGGCGAAGGCGGCUUUCUGGACUGUAACUGACGCUGAGGCUCGAAAGCGUGGGGAGCGAACAGGAUUAGAUACCCGAGUAGUCCCUGUCUCUUAUACC
rnacentral:rRNA from 1 species